UAAAAGUUGGUUGAUUUUGGCAUUUUGUUUGUUUGUGUUUGAAUGAUUGUGGCUUGUGGACCACAUACACUCACGGGAUACACAGAAAUCACCCCUUUUUCUUCUUCUUUUCCGUGAUUCCCUCAAACUCACUCUCUCUAUUCCCUUCGAGCUCUCUCUCUCUCUCUACACACGGACCAUCACCAAGGACCUUCAAAACUUCACAGAUCGAGGAAACAAAGACCACCAUCGUCUUCAUCUCGUCGAUACAAGUCCAUCCAUACUAGUUUCAGGUUCUAGUUAGCAAUUGGUGGCUCACGAGGUUUUCUUUGACGUUCUGACAGACUUCCUGCAUGUAGGACUCACCUGCGGGUGUUGUAAUUUAAAUAUAGUCCUACUUGACUACACCUAGUUUUUAUGCUCUGAAAUCGUGUAUUGCACACUUUAACUCACUCUAAUACUGCUAGUAGUUGGUUUUUAUUCCUUCGUAUUUCUUA